rnacentral:rRNA from 1 species
UGGGGAAUAUUGCACAAUGGGCGCAAGCCUGAUGCAGCCAUGCCGCGUGUAUGAAGAAGGCCUUCGGGUUGUAAAGUACUUUCAGCGGGGAGGAAGGGAGUAAAGUUAAUACCUUUGCUCAUUGACGUUACCCGCAGAAGAAGCACCGGCUAACUCCGUGCCAGCAGCCGCGGUAAUACGGGGGGUGCAAGCGUUAAUCGGAAUUACUGGGCGUAAAGCGCACGCAGGCGGUUUGUUAAGUCAGAUGUGAAAUCCCCGGGCUCAACCUGGGAACUGCAUCUGAUACUGACAAGCUUGAGUCUCGUAGAGGGGGGUAGAAUUCCAGGUGUAGCGGUGAAAUGCGUAGAGAUCUGGAGGAAUACCGGUGGCGAAGGCGGCCCCCUGGACGAAGACUGACGCUCAGGUGCGAAAGCGUGGGGAGCAAACAGG